UACGUAGGCAGCGAGCGUUGUUCGGAAUUACUGGGCGUAAAGAGUGUGUAGGCGGUGCUCUAAGUUCGGUGUGAAAUCUCCUGGCUUAACUGGGAGGGUGCGCCGAAAACUGGAGUGCUCGAGCGUGGGAGAGGAAAGCGGAAUUCCUGGUGUAGCGGUGAAAUGCGUAGAUAUCAGGAGGAACACCUGCGGUGUAGACGGCUUUCUGGACCAUUGCUGACGCUGAGACACGAAAGCGUGGGGAGCAAACAGG
rnacentral:rRNA from 1 species